rnacentral:misc_RNA from 1 species
AACUCUCACCCUCUAGCUUUCUUAAUCGUGGCUAGCGGCGUGGACGUGAGCGCUGCUGCUUUGUUGCGGCUCGCUCGAAAUGCAUUAGCAGACCCUUUUCGUAAUCGGUUCCACUCAACGUGAUAAGUAUUUCGUUGAGGACAGUUGCAGCAAUGCGGCUGGCCGGGAUAAGAAAGGCAUAGUUGUCAGCUUCUAAUCGCCCUUGGGCAAUUUUUUAUGAU